CGGGGUUGGCUUCAGCUGCAAAGAGCCACCUCACCGCAGGUCUCCUUCCCCGAGCAGCCGCAUCCCGUGUCUGAGGGCCUGGGGAUACAAAGGCUGUCCAUACAGUUCCGCCAAUGUAGGACCCUGGGUGCUGGAGAUCCCGAGAUAACUGAAGAGACCCCCCCAGCAGUCACUGCCAGACUCCACCGGACCUCCUGGCAAGGUGUCCAGCUGGACGGUGGCUCAUUCAUGCUCUCGUUUAGCCUUGGUAUCUGUCCGGCUGUGGGGAGAAUAGGUGUCCUUGUCCUUUCUGGGGGCCCAGGAUCCCUCUGGGCAACAAACCUGAAAACUGUCUUAUAAAUCUUGUAGUACAAGACAGAUACCACCAUCUCUCAUUUGAUUUCACAGAUUUGGAAUUAAAGCUCCUCUCCUGAGGAAAAAAAAAUGCAUUUA